GUCUACAGCCAUACCACCUUGAACGUUUCCGAUCUCAUCUGAUCUCAGAAGCUAAGCAGGGUCUGGCCUGGUUAAUACUUGGAUUGGAGAAAGGAGAAGUUCUGACAGAGAGGAUG
rnacentral:rRNA from 1 species